AGUGAACGCUGGCGGUAGGCCUAACACAUGCAAGUCGAACGGCAGCACAGGAGAGCUUGCUCUCUGGGUGGCGAGUGGCGGACGGGUGAGGAAUACAUCGGAAUCUACUCUGUCGUGGGGGAUAACGUAGGGAAACUUACGCUAAUACCGCAUACGACCUACGGGUGAAAGCAGGGGACCUUCGGGCCUUGCGCGAUUGAAUGAGCCGAUGUCGGAUUAGCUAGUUGGCGGGGUAAAGGCCCACCAAGGCGACGGUCCGUAGCUGGUCUGAGAGGAUGAUCAGCCACACUGGAACUGAGACACGGUCCAGACUCCUACGGGAGGCAGCAGUGGGGAAUAUUGGACAAUGGGCGCCAGCCUGAUCCAGCCAUACCGCGUGGGUGAAGAAGGCCUUCGGGUUGUAAAGCCCUUUUGUUGGGAAAGAAAUCCAGCUGGCUAAUACCCGGUUGGGAUGACGGUACCCAAAGAAUAAGCACCGGCUAACUUCGUGCCAGCAGCCGCGGUAA
rnacentral:rRNA from 1 species